UGUGAGCAUGCCUGUCGGGACC
rnacentral:siRNA from 1 species